rnacentral:misc_RNA from 1 species
UUUCCGUAGGUGAACCUGCGGAAGGAUCAUUAACAUUAUAUGUGUGGGGGCACUUCGAAGGUUGUUGCUGACCCAAAAGUCGAUCACACCCGAGCGUGUCCUCUUGCAUCAUCAUCACUCUCACCCUAUGUGCUAACCCUCUUGCGCACACAUCGGGUUCAUCACGAAUGCGAGCUAGAGCUUUCACCCACACACCUCUUUUAACACUCUAGAAUGACCACCUUAAUGCAUUCAAUACAACUUUCACCAACGGACCUCUUGGCUCUCGCAUCGC